ensembl:lncRNA
CUUAACACUACUUAAACGUAUCUACUGAUCUGUGGCACGAUUACUUUUUCAGGGUUAUUUUAAGACAAAAGAUUUUAAAAUGGCUCACUUCUGACAGAUCUCAUGAAUGACAUCAAAAAAUGUCCAGAAAAGGCUGCGGUGAGCAGAAAAGCAUCUCAGAAUGCCCAACCCAUUGAACCUUGGAGCAGAUGGACAACAACAGCAUGUAGUUACACUCCUGUCGAAUCUGAGGCUACAAUGGGCACAGACUGACCAAAACUGGACACAAUAAUAUGGUCUCCUGGUAUAUGAGUAUAUUCAAGAUAUUUUCACUUGAUGAGAUAUUUUAAGAAUUAAAACAGGCAGGAGUGGUUAAGUUUGUGACAAGAUAAAAAAAAAACAACAACAUUCAGAAACAUCAAGAUAACUGGCCUAACUAUAGAGUUAUAAAUAUACUAAUUACACAUGUGCUCUAGAGUUAAUCUCAGUGGAUAUGACUGCUGUGAAUUUUUUUUUCUACUAUGUCUAAACAUAAUACUCCUAUCCCUGCCCUUUCUUCUAAUUUCCACUUAGUGUUAAUAACAAUGUUUCAGUAAAUGAGGCUAAAUGGGCAACUUUUUUCUAUAUAUAAUUUAGACACCUGGCAAUCAGGUUAGUGGUGACUCACCAGACAAGGAUAUUUUAAUACCAUUACCAAAGAUACACCACAAAGGGAAAGACGCUUCAUGAUGAUUUCAUUUUCUGUAAACAUACGUCCACUUCUGUCUAACAAAGUCCACAUGUCAGUCCAUACAUGGUACUGAACUCUACACCACACACAAGUACGUGUCAGCAUGAUAUUUCUCCACUUCCUAUGUGUCACUUGCCAUGUAUUUCAUUAUAAACGACUCUUUAACUUGGACAAUAAGUAAAUAAGUUUUAAAAGAGAAAAUCCAUCCUGAACGACUUGCAUAUUACAUUUUACAAUUAACGUGCUCUUCAGUGGCAUGAAACAUUUAUUUUAUUUGACUUUUGUAGUUUAAAC